ACUCCUACGGGAGGCAGCAGUAGGGAAUCUUCCACAAUGGGCGCAAGCCUGAUGGAGCAACACCGCGUGAGUGAAGAAGGGUUUCGGCUCGUAAAGCUCUGUUGUUAAAGAAGAACACGUAUGAGAGUAACUGUUCAUACGUUGACGGUAUUUAACCAGAAAGUCACGGCUAACUACGUGCCAGCAGCCGCGGUAAUACGUAGGUGGCAAGCGUUAUCCGGAUUUAUUGGGCGUAAAGAGAGUGCAGGCGGUUUUCUAAGUCUGAUGUGAAAGCCUUCGGCUUAACCGGAGAAGUGCAUCGGAAACUGGAUAACUUGAGUGCAGAAGAGGGUAGUGGAACUCCAUGUGUAGCGGUGGAAUGCGUAGAUAUAUGGAAGAACACCAGUGGCGAAGGCGGCCACCUGGUCUGCAACUGACGCUGAGACUCGAAAGCAUGGGUAGCGAACAGGAUUAGAUACCCUGGUAGGAUAGCG
rnacentral:rRNA from 1 species